rnacentral:rRNA from 1 species
AGUUGCUAACGCGUGAAGGCGAGCACUCUAGACGAACUGCCGUUGACAAAACGGAGGAAGGUGGGAUGACGUCAAAUCAUCAUGCCCCUUAUGUUCUGGGCUACACACGUGCUACAAUGGCCGGUACAGACGGACGCAAAGCCGCGAGGUGGAGCAAAUCCUAAAAAGCCGGUCUCAGUUCGGAUUGCAGGCUGCAAUUCGCCUGCAUGAAGUCGGAAUCGCUAGUAAUCGCAGGUCAGCAUACUGCGGUGAAUACGUUCCCGGGCCUU